rnacentral:tRNA from 1 species
GGGCGAUUGGCUCAGUGGUAGAGCAUCUCGUUUACACCGAGAGGGUCGGCGGUUCGAGUCCGUCAUCGCCCACCA